UACGUAGGGGGCUAGCGUUGUCCGGAUUUAUUGGGCGUAAAGCGCGUGUAGGCGGCCAGGUAAGUCCGCUGUGAAAACUCGAGGCUCAACCUCGAGCUGUCGGUGGAAACUAUCUGGCUAGAGUCCGGAAGAGGAGAGUGGAAUUCCCGGUGUAGCGGUGAAAUGCGCAGAUAUCGGGAAGAACACCCGUGGCGAAGGCGGCUCUCUGGGACGGUACUGACGCUGAGACGCGAAAGCGUGGGGAGCGAACAGGAUUAGAAACCCUAGUAGU
rnacentral:rRNA from 1 species